rnacentral:antisense_RNA from 1 species
ACUGGGCUGAGUUUGUGGCGCGCUUAGUGAUGGGAGGGCGCUGUGCAGGACGCCGACACGAAAAGAUGAAGAGUUCAAUCCGUGCUGUCUGAACUCACAGUGUAGCGGGCGAGAUAGACGGGAAGAUCGGUAGGGUGGGAGAUGCCGGAAAGGCUUCCCGUGAAACUGGAUAAGAAAUCAAAAAUCUGGUGAAAUUGCCGGCAGGAGGGAGUUAAGGACAUUCCAGGCAGAGGCAAGGCUCCCGCUGAAGUAACCCAGACGCCAGGGAUAUCUCUGCCUGCUCCACUCUGACCCUAGUGCUCAAUGUGCCUGCCAGGCCUUGCUAGGGAUGCUGUGCCAGUGUGAGGAGGAAGGUGGUCUCCAGCUCUCACCCCAUAGAAGCUUUCUGCCUCAGUUUCCCUAACCUGGAACACCACAGUGACUCCCGAAUUGAAAAACACUGCUUACAGCAUCUAGGCUAAAAUUGGCAGAAUACCUGGGCUCCAAGCCAGGGAGAUUUGGGGCGAUGGGGAGGUGCAAGAGCACAGCCCCACAGAGCCAAAAGCAAUAAUAUCCUGUUUGUUCCUACACUGCCCUCUGCAUUAAAAAAAACAAGGACAGCU